AUUGGGUCUUCUUGGGUUAUUUGUGUACUCAUUCAUUUAUUUUUUUGCAUACUUCAAACUUUUAUCCAGGCACUGCACUAAGCACUGGGGAACAGAACAAGACUCAUAUUUAACCAGCACAUGAAUGAAGCACAUGAAGAUGAAUAAGAUAAACUCCUGUCUUCAAGAAGCUUAUAAUCAGAAAGAAGGGAUAAUCACCUGAGCAAACGAGAGCAAUGGUGAAAGAAUUUGCUCUCUAGGAAAGACACUUUGUUGUUUCAGUAAGUCGUGGUUCAAAAGAGCAUCCCAGGCCUUGACCUGCCACAAGUUCUCCUUUGAUGAAAAUGUGGUUGAUGAUCUACACCCGAAAUGAAUGCUUUUACUGCUCGAUUACACAGAUCAUCUGGAUGCUCAAUUUACUCAAAGAGCCAUUCUUGUGUCCACAAGAUAAUUGAUAUUUCAGAUUUAGCUACAUUCAAAUGGUAAGCUGGUUUUAAAAAUUUCAACAAAAAUUUAAUUAAAU
rnacentral:lncRNA from 1 species